GUCCCUGUCGAUUAGUGGUUAAAUCAUCACGUUGUGGCUUAGUUAGUGCAAAUCCGUGAAGCCAGCGGCUCGAAUCCGCUCAGGGACA